GAGCAUAAAUGAUGCCGAAAUAAGGCCCAUAAAAAGAGGAAUCCCAACUAAUGUAUCUUAAUGAGCAACUAAUGAUGCCUUGGGACAAAAAUAGGGUUAUCCUGCCCAACUAAUGUAUCUUAAUGAGCAAGUUCCACAUCUAGGAGAGUCUUCGUUCUCGAUGAAGGAGAGAUCCAGGGGGCGAAUCUGCUCCGAAACCCGACGCCACAGUGGCUUCAACAGGCGUCGCUGCGGCCAAAGGCAACGACACAGGAAACGGCGGCGAGCGGGCGGAGGCAGUGAUGGAAGCGAAGCCACAAUUUCACUAAAGUCCAGAUCCGAAGAACAACGAUAUUUGCAUUGCCGCAUUGGAGGGGAUGUAUCUUCCACAGCCAUCCAGCUUGAGUUGAGUUAGUUACAGCUCUGUUAGGAACUUAGAAUAGGAAACCGGGUUCUGGGUCAGGGUGGGUUGGGUGUUCGGGUUCGGGAAGGGAUCAUGGGCUAGCCCAAGACCAAAAGAAAAAAAAUAAAAACCGCUGCAAUUGUUCUCUGCUGUACCCGAUUUGCGCAUUACGACGUCGUUUAAGAAAGCGGUGAAAAAUUGAAAAUGGCUUCUGCAUCUAUAAGAAGGUAAAAAAAAAAAAAAUAGAAGAAGAAGAAAAGAUGUAUAAAUAGCGGUGACAACAAUAGCAAUUAGGAUUUAGGACCUACUUGCGGUGGCUUCCAUUCAUAGAGAGAUCACAGAUUUCAGAUUAGAGAAAAACAAACGCAGCUUUUGUGCCUCAUAGGUUGGCUCCAAUAAUUGCUCGUCUAAAGACUAGAUGGACUUAAAAAGGUGAUUGUUUCAUGGAAAGGACUUAACGUCAUAGGUAGAAGACUUCAGAUCCUACUGGUUAAUGAGAUAAGUAUUUGCAACAUAUACUACAAGCUUUUGUAGCAUACAAUUAUUCUCACAUUUUUUUUUUUUGUGGAUUUAUUCUUCGCUAACGUUAACUUGAAACUAUAAUGUCUUUCAUGGGCAUGAAACCAUUUUUUGGACUAUGGCAGUUAUUCACUUCUUUACAGCCCCAUUUGGCAGGGUCCGAAGAGUGUACAUGCAUCAACUUUCACCAUCAAUCUGUUAAAUUCAGAAUACUGCUAAUCUGCUAUCAGUAAAUUGAAGUUGAUAACUUGAUAUUAUUUGUUACUAAGAUAUAGUUUUUCAUUUUCUUUUUAUCUGAAAAAAAGAGCUGAUAUUUGAGAUUACCAUUUAAUCACACUGAAGAGAUUUAUUUUUAAUUCUUUCCUUAUUGAGAAAAUGCAACUUUCCUGAAAUUUCUGGUUGCGGUAUCAAUCUCAUGCCUCUUUAUUUUGGCAAUAACAGUCUUUUGUCCCUUCUUGUUUGGAUUUUUUGUUUCCUAUUUUCAGUUAAUAUUCUGGACGUUUCAGUUCAACUUAAGGUUUCAAGAAAACUGUCAGUGUUAACUGUUAUGCCGUUAUGGUGAUAAGUCUUGAGUAUCAUUUAUCUGAUCUCAAUCAAUUGACACUCACUUAUUGUAGUUAUCAUUCAUAUCAGUAACUUUCCUUUUAAGGGAUGCUGUAAUAAUAUAUAAGAAAUCCAUUGUAGGAUUGCAUCUUUCUCUUCUUGGAUAAGUGGGGUUAUGAAAGCCAAAUAUCUGGUUGCAUCAUCAUUCAUUCAUUCAUCAAAGAGUGCGUAGCUAACUGGAAAACUAACAUGUCAGCAUCACUUCUGGAUAUUCUGAUUGUUGAAUCAUUUACUAAUCAUUUUCUCAUUCGAUACGCAAUCCUGUUUUUGAUUAUUCUCUAGAGAUAAAGUGAUACAUUGACAGUUAUUUUGAAUCAGAGGGAGCAGUAAUUACUUAUAGUCAUUCGGUGUAUAUAUUUUUUUCUAACUGUACUUAGGUUAAAAUGUUUUGACUUUUGAUCAUUCCAUACUUGUCUUCCACUGAAUUUUCAGAUUGGAGUUAAUUUGAAUUACCUGAAGGAUGUUGGAGAAUUUAAACUGCAUGUGUAAAAAGAGCAUUUCUUUGGUGAAGAAAGGGCUAAAGUGGCAUCAGCAUUACAUGAAAGGAGUGGCAAGGGUGACACAAAUAGAAAGAAUGAUGAUCCUAGAGUCUGUGGACACAGUAACAGUGAUGUUGAUGGUGCCAUGUGAGUGCUUUGUUGUACAAUUGUUUUUAUUUGUAAUGAAAUUGAAAGAACACUGUUGUAUAUAAUAUCAUAUGGUGAUAGAAUGUGUUUCAAUUCAUUUGCAUUUUUUUUUCUUUUUCUUUUUUCAAAAUCUUGUCAUCUUUGUCUUAAUGCUAUCACCCCUGAGUAACAUUAUUGAUGAGUUGACAAAACGUGCUUCCAAGAUAUUACUUUAGCUUGGUAAUAACAAAGCAAGGUUCCUUUUUGCCUUGUUGUAUGUAAUGUUAUGAAAUCAAUUGCAGCAUAUAGAUUGUGUUAGGAUAUAAAACU